rnacentral:tRNA from 1 species
AGGGAUGUAGCUCAGUGGUAAAGCACUUCCUUAGCAUGUGUGAGACCCUAGGUUCAAUUCCUAGCACUGCCA